CAUGCAGUCGACGGUAACAGAGAGUAGCUUGCUACUCUGCUGACGAGUGGCGCACGGGUGAGUAAUAUAUAGAUAAUGUGCCUUUUAGUCUGGGAUAGCCAUUGGAAACGAUGAUUAAUACUGGAUACUCCUUCUAACUCUAAUGUUAGUCGGGAAAGUUUUUCGCUAAAAGAUCGGUCUAUAUCCCAUCAGUUAGUUGGUAAGGUAACGGCUUACCAAGGCAAUGACGGGUAGCGGGUUUGAGAGGAUGAUCCGCCACACUGGUACUGAGACACGGACCAGACUCCUACGGGAGGCAGCAGUGAGGAAUAUUGCACAAUGGGGGAAACCCUGAUGCAGCAACGCCGCGUGGAGGAUGACGCAUUUCGGUGUGUAAACUCCUUUUAUAUGUCAAGAAAAUGACGGUAGCAUAUGAAUAAGCACCGGCUAACUCCGUGCCAGCAGCCGCGGUAAUACGGAGAGUGCAAGCGUUACUCGGAAUCACUGGGCGUAAAGCGCAUGCAGGCGGUUUAAUAAGUUAGAAGUGAAAUCCUACAGCUUAACUGUAGAACUGCUUCUAAAACUGUUAAACUAGAGUCUGGGAGGGGAAGAUGGAAUUAGUAGUGUAGGGGUAAAAUCCGUAGAGAUUACUAGGAAUACCAAAAGCGAAGGCGAUUUUCUGGAACAGUACUGACGCUGAGAUGCGAAAGCGUGGGGAGCAAACAGGAUUAGAUACCCUGGUAGUCCACGCAGUAAACGAUGAAUGUUAGUCGUUGGAGUGCUAGUCACUUCAGUGAUGCAGUUAACACAUUAAACAUUCCGCCUGGGGAGUACGGUCGCAAGA
rnacentral:rRNA from 1 species